CCUACGGGAGGCAGCAGUAGGGAAUCUUCCGCAAUGGACGAAAGUCUGACGGAGCAACGCCGCGUGAGUGAUGAAGGUUUUCGGAUCGUAAAACUCUGUUGUUAGGGAAGAACAAGUACCGGAGUAACUGCCGGUACCUUGACGGUACCUAACCAGAAAGCCACGGCUAACUACGUGCCAGCAGCCGCGGUAAUACGUAGGUGGCAAGCGUUGUCCGGAAUUAUUGGGCGUAAAGCGCGCGCAGGCGGUCCUUUAAGUCUGAUGUGAAAGCCCACGGCUCAACCGUGGAGGGUCAUUGGAAACUGGGGGACUUGAGUACAGAAGAGAAGAGUGGAAUUCCACGUGUAGCGGUGAAAUGCGUAGAGAUGUGGAGGAACACCAGUGGCGAAGGCGACUCUUUGGUCUGUAACUGACGCUGAGGCGCGAAAGCGUGGGGAGCAAACAGGAUUAGAUACCCUGGUAGUCCACGCUGUAAACGAUGAGUGCUAAGUGUUAGAGGGUUUCCGCCCUUUAGUGCUGCAGCUAACGCAUUAAGCACUCCGCCUGGGGAGUACGGCCGCAAGGCUGAAACUCAAAGGAAUUGACGG
rnacentral:rRNA from 1 species